rnacentral:rRNA from 1 species
GACGAACGCUGGCGGCGUGCUUAACACAUGCAAGUCGAACGGAAAGGCCCUGCUUUUGUGGGGUGCUCGAGUGGCGAACGGGUGAGUAACACGUGAGUAACCUGCCCUUGACUUUGGGAUAACUUCGGGAAACUGGGGCUCAUACCGGAUAGGAUCUCCUGCUGCAUGGUGGGGGUUGGAAAGUUUCGGCGGUUGGGGAUGGACUCGCGGCUUAUCAGCUUGUUGGUGGGGUAGUGGCUUACCAAGGCUUUGACGGGUAGCCGGCCUGAGAGGGUGACCGGCCACAUUGGGACUGAGAUACGGCCCAGACUCCUACGGGAGGCAGCAGUGGGGAAUAUUGCACAAUGGGCGGAAGCCUGAUGCAGCAACGCCGCGUGCGGGAUGACGGCCUUCGGGUUGUAAACCGCUUUCGCCUGUGACGAAGCGUGAGUGACGGUAAUGGGUAAAGAAGCACCGGCUAACUACGUG